rnacentral:rRNA from 1 species
AUGGAUGGCCCCAUCGCUUCCCUCCUCUGCCGUCAGCCGCCACCAGCGCCCUGCAUCAGGGCAUGUCACCAUUGGGGCACUUCCCACCCUGCUUCACCCAAUGACGGCACCCACUGGCACCCCCCAGGUGUGUCUUCUCUAGUCCAGAGGAGGCUACCACCGCAUGUGAUAGCGAGCAGAACGAACAGCAUACGUUACGCGCGGCUAUCUAGUGAGAUGCAGUUUGGAGCAUAUAUGUGUUGUGUAGUUUGGCGACGAACGACAUGUGUUACGUGCGGCUCGUGCAUGCAGUCCAUUGUGUGA